AACUAAAAUAAUACCUACGUGCUAGAAUGUACCACGGCGAACUGCAUUCAAGCUGUCAUUCCCCAUUCAACACCACCAGAUAAAAUCCACAGUCCAUGUACAUUCCCCUAUAUAAAAAAAAGGAAGUGGGAUGAGAAUGACACAAAGUCGAUACGGCUUCCUUUGAGCCUUGACUUGUAGAAACUUCGCGAGUUUGCCCGACUUAAUUUUCCCAGAUCAAAUUGUCCAACCUCUCCGCAAAUUUCUUUGGAACUCUUUGUUUUCUGUCAGCGCGUGAUGGAUGCCUUCGAGACCUUCGUCAUUUUUAACUGCAGAAAAUGUUUGGCCCACAUCCACGUGUUUAUGUAAGGUCUUGCAUCACAAGUUUUCAAUGGUCUCGUUCGAUUCAGUUUCGAUCUGACGGCUGCUUAGCCAUGGCGAUUUUCUCAAGAUGCACGAGUUUAGCAAAAUCUACAGCCAUUUCGAAACUCGGAAUUCUGUCGGCGGUUACCGACAUGAAUCAAGUUCUGUGUAUGUUUAUUAUCGCACGGACGAUUCGACAGGCUUUCAAAAGUUUAUAGAGCUUGGAGCGAGAAAGGGUUUUACACGGCCGAGACGCGGAGUAUUGAUGGACAGUAUUAUAAUGCUAGAGAUGUACUAGAUUUACAAUAAAGACUGUUUUUGUAGUAGAA